rnacentral:ncRNA from 1 species
GCACCAUAGGCUACGCCCGCGAGAACCGCACGGUGUUCCUGUCGAUACUGGGCAUUUCCUGGUUCUGGCUGUACGGCGCGAUGUUUCUGGCGCAAUUCCCCGCCUACGCCAGAAACGUGCUG